UUCUUUGUUUUAGUGGUGCAAUGACCUGCAUACCGAUUGCUUUCUUCUAAGUCCUUGCUCUGUCUUGUGUGGUAGUUCAUGGUAGUCAGCCAAAAGUCCCAACAUUUGUUUGGACCUUGUCCUAAAGAAAACUUUCUUUAGAGGCUAAUCUUUGUAUGUUACAAUGCUGUCUGUAACAGCCCAGUUAGCUAUGCAGAUGUUGCCCAAAUGCUUUUUGCUAGCCUCUCUUUUCGAAGUCCUUGCCAUGUCUUCUGUGCAAGUUCCUACUGAUAUGUCUGCCGACAGCAUUUUUUUUCAAGUACGUUUAGAAACACUGAAGUUUACUGCUUCCUUUUUGUUCCCCUUGUCUAUGUAUAUUGGACAUGUUCAUUGGCUAGGUUCUUGUGUAUAUUUUUCUUUAGGUAGAACGAAUGCUUUUUGCUAGUCUCUCUUUACCAAGUCCUUGCCAUGUCUUAUGUGCAAGUUACAACUUACAUGCCGGCAGAUUUUUUUGUGUUUUAUAAUUACUGAAGUUUAUUGCUCCCCUUUUAUUCCUUUUUGUUUAUGUAUAUUGAGCAUGUUCAUUGGCUAGGUUCAUGUGUACAUUUUUCUUGAGGUAGAACAUCAGUGAUCUCGAAGUAGAAUCUAGAAGUUAAUUCUUAUUCGAGAAUAUAUUCGAAGCAAUAGAAUCAAAUGAGUUCCUUAUCAGAAAGUUAUUUGCAAGUCUUUAUGUCAUCAUCUUACUGCUCAGUAUUUUCAAAACUUGAAUAUGGAAUAGAUUGUGAUAUUGACUUAUGGCAUCAUUAUCUGGAUUACACACUCUGACAUUGAUUCAUCAAGUUGUUCAUGCAUGAUGGUUCUGUUUGUGGUGAUACGCUAUUUUAUCCAGAAAGAUAUGGCUGACUGCUGUAUUCUCACUUUUAUAGCUUUUCCAGAUGCAAUCCAUUAGACGAAAUUCCAACAGCAAUGUUGAUGCUUAAAAAAGCUUUUGAAAAUUGAUGUGAGUAAUCAGGGAGCUUGGAGCUCAGAUGUAUUGAGGCAAAGCAGAACCUCAAGUUCAAGUCCUAACUUGGACAAUCUUUUGCUAAUUUGGUUUCCAUAGCAGUAAGUUAUCUGUACUUCUAGGCCCAAAACAAAUAAAUUACUCCCAAAAUUGUCUAAUCCAACCUUUCAAGCAUAGAACAGGAAAUAACCCAUCGCAACGUGACUCAGAAUGUGAAUAUUAUUUCCAAACCACUCAAUUUUAUUUUUUUCUUCAAAAUCUUUAAA
rnacentral:lncRNA from 1 species